AAGGAAUGGGCAACGGUAGGUCAGUAUGCCCCGAAUAUCCCGGGCUACACGCGAGCUACAAUGGUUGGUACAAUGGGUAUCUACCCCGAAAGGGGAUGGAAAUACUCCUAAAGCCAAUCUUAGUCCGGAUUGAGGGCUGCAACUCGCCCUCAUGAAGCUGGAAUCCGUAGUAAUCGCGUUUCAACAGAACGCGGUGAAUACGUCCCUGCUCCUU
rnacentral:rRNA from 1 species